rnacentral:lncRNA from 1 species
UAGUAGUCUGCUUCCUCUUUUUCCCUUGUGCAUCAUCAAUUAUUAAUUAUUGUGUCCUUUUUGGAGGUGAAGAGACAUGGAGCUGGAUGCUGGCACUUGGUGUUUGGAGUUCACUCAGCUGUGGGAGAAGGCUGCAGCUGCCCAAAGCCUGGGAUGAGAAAACAUGGUUCCUGUACCAGAAUAAGUAUUAGAAACAAGAGCAAUCUCUGAAUUUGAGUAUCAACCCAGAACUUUGAUGAAAGUCAAGGUAAAUGUAAAGGUAACCAUAUUUUUUUGCUGAAAUUUGUCUUUGAGCAUAUGUGCUUCC